rnacentral:lncRNA from 1 species
CGAAAUUCUUAAGCUGCUAUGCAAGGAACGAGGGUUCAAUCUAUUAUCGAAAGCAACAAAAUUUGCAAUUUAUUUCCCAUAAGCUAUGGCCGAGUUGGAUGCUACAACCCUAUCUGAAUACGAUAUUGAAUAUAUAGACUUUAACAUGACAACUGUGGCGUACCGUACAACCACUGGACACCCGGAUACUAACCUAGGUGCUUGGGGACUUUUGUUCAUAUUCGUCGUAAUUUUUCUUAUCAUUGCUGCCUGCUGUGCUUGUAUGGGUGUUCUCGUCCUUUUUGGUUGUAUGAAGUCCUUUCUCUGUUUUCGCUGUAGACGCCGAGGCGACGAGUUUAUAGGAAGGGAACCCUGACUGUCGUUGAAAUUCUGUCAUUAAAACUGAAACUUGUGCUAAUAAAAUUAUAUGUUUUGUAUGAAUCG